rnacentral:lncRNA from 1 species
GCCCUCAUAUCCUGGGAUAAAUACUUGGCUGUUCAUGGAUGGACAAACAUGAGAGUCAAGCUAAACCGCUCAAUUCCAUCUCCGUUAUAUGCUGUGACCUGUCUGACCUGAGAUCUACUCAGGGUAGCCUUCUGUGGCAAUAGAAACUUCAUCCUACGACAUCACCUAUUAUCCUUCUAAGCCUUCCAUCUCAUGCCCAAUCCACCUGUAUCUGGAGCUCUACCUUGCUCUGAGCUCCCAUUGGCUCCUGAAGCUCCACCUCGUGUUGAGCUUUAUGUCAAGAGGUAAUGU